AUACGGAGGGUGCAAGCGUUGUUCGGAAUCACUGGGCGUAAAGGGCGCGCAGGCGGUUUGGUAAGUCAGAUGUGAAAGCCCAUGGCUCAACCAUGGAAGUGCAUUUGAAACUGUCAGACUUGAGUACUAGAGGGGAAAGUGGAAUUCCCGGUGUAGAGGUGAAAUUCGUAGAUAUCGGGAGGAAUACCGGUGGCGAAGGCGACUUUCUGGCUGAAUACUGACGCUGAGGCGCGAAAGCGUGGGGAGCAAACAGGAUUAGAAACCCGGGUAGUCC
rnacentral:rRNA from 1 species